rnacentral:rRNA from 1 species
AACGAACGCUGGCGGCAUGCCUAACACAUGCGAGUCGAACGAGACCUUCGGGUCUAGUGGCGCACGGGUGCGUAACGCGUGGGAACCUGCCCUUAGGUUCGGAAUAACUCCCCGAAAGGGGUGCUAAUACCGGAUAAUGUCUUCGGACCAAAGAUUUAUCGCCUUUGGAUGGGCCCGCGUUGGAUUAGCUAGUUGGUAGGGUAAAAGCCUACCAAGGCGACGAUCCAUAGCUGGUCUGAGAGGAUGAUCAGCCACACUGGGACUGAGACACGGCCCAGACUCCUACGGGAGGCAGCAGUGGGGAAUAUUGGACAAUGGGCGAAAGCCUGAUCCAGCAAUGCCGCGUGAGUGAUGAAGGCCUUAGGGUUGUAAAGCUCUUUUACCCGGGAUGAUAAUGACAGUACCGGGAGAAUAGGCUCCGGCUAACUCCGUG